CUGUACUUAAGCUUUUCUAUUAGCUCUAGCAUACCUCUUUGUAGGCUCAAUUGUUGUUGCUCAGACAUGGAUUUCAUACAUGGCACUAAACUUAAAAGAAACAUUUCACAUGGAUCUUGUUGUGGCUCAGAUUGUUGUUUAUUUUCCAGUCUUUCCUUUUUUAGUUUAAAAUUGUUAAUUUUUGUAAAUUUUUAGUCUAAAAGUGUGUAUUUUUGGGGAUUUUAUAGGAGUCUGAAGUUUGAAGAUUAUGGACUAGGUAUAUAUUUGUAGGAACCAGAAUAUGGCUCGUUUACAGUGGUCCAAAAAUUUUUUUCAGCUUGAGAGCAUCAUGAAUGAUCAUUUAAAACAAACUUUACGAAAACUUAUGGUUUAGAAAUUAUGAUUUAAUGAAAUUUGGUAUAGGCCCAUGUAGUGUGAAUAAUUAGACUGUAUUUUUUAUUUCACUUUUUCUGUAGUUUUUUUUAAAUUUUCGGCAAAAUAUUGAUUUUCGAAAAAAUUCUGUGAAAACUUAAUUGUAAUGUCAAUUUAUUGAGUUUUUUGUGGUUAUUUAGUUUUUAAGUUUAUAUCUUAAUAAAAAGUUUGGAGAAUUAAUAAAACAACAUAAAUAAUUAA